rnacentral:rRNA from 1 species
UACGUAGGAGGCGAGCGUUGUCCGGAAUUACUGGGCGUAAAGAGCGCGUAGGCGGCGCGGUACGACCGCUGUGAAAGCCCCCAGCUCAACUGGGGAGGGUCAGCGGUAACGGUCGUGCUAUGAGUGCAGGAGAGGGAAGUGGAACUCCGGGAGUAGCGGUGAAAUGCGUAGAUAUCAGGAGGAACACCUGCGGUGUAGACGGCUUUCUGGACCAUUGCUGACGCUGAGACACGAAAGCGUGGGUAGCAAACAGG